rnacentral:rRNA from 1 species
UUGAAGGCCCUGCAAAGCAGCAUCGCGGUGGCGGAGCGUCGUUUGCGACGCCCAACGCACAAAACAAGCGGUGAGUGCUUUGGGGUGGGGUGACUGCGUACCUUUUGUAUAAUGGGUCAGCGACUUAUAUUCUGUAGCAAGGUUAACCGAAUAGGGGAGCCGGAGGGAAACCGAGUCUUAACUGGGCGUUAAGUUGCAGGGUAUAGACCCGAAACCCGGUGAUCUAGCCAUGGGCAGGUUGAAGGUUGGGUAACACUAACUGGAGGACCGAACCGACUAAUGUUGAAAAAUUAGCGGAUGACCUGUGGCUGGGGGUGAAAGGCCAAUCAAACCGGGAGAUAGCUGGUUCUCCCCGAAAGCUAUUUAGGUAGCGCCUCGUGAAUUCAUCUCCGGGGGUAGAGCACUGUUUCGGCUAGGGGGCCAUCCCGGCUUACCAACCCGAUGCAAACUGCGAAUACCGGAGAAUGUUAUCACGGGAGACACACGGCGGGUGCUAACGUCCGUCGUGAAGAGGGAAACAACCCAGACCGCCAGCUAAGGUCCCAAAGUCAUGGUUAAGUGGGAAACGAUGUGGGAAGGCCCAGACAGCCAGGAUGUUGGCUUAGAAGCAGCCAUCAUUUAAAGAAAGCGUAAUAGCUCACUGGUCGAGUCGGCCUGCGCGGAAGAUGUAACGGGGCUAAACCAU